rnacentral:rRNA from 1 species
AUGUGCCGGAACCUGACAUCCAUCUCCUCUAACUUCUGGUGGGGUUCAGCUCAUGGUGAGAACAAGGUGCACUGGGUGGCCUGGGACAAGAUGCGCCUGUUGAAGCGAGAGGGAGGCAUGGGCUUCCGAAAUUUUGAGGCUUUCAACCAGGCGCUGUAGGGAAAACAAGCGUGGAGGAUUUUGCAAGAACCGGACUCCCUUUGCGCUAGGGUUUUGCGAGCAAGAUACUUCAAGGAUUCAUCGAUCAUGAAUGCUACUUGCCCUUCCAGCGGGUCAUUCACCUUUCGCAGCAUCCUCUUUGGUCGCGACUUGCCGCGGGCUGGAGCGGUGUGGCGCAUCGGGGACGGAUCCAAAAUCAACAUUCAUCACGUACGAUACUGGAUCCCUCGAAGCGGCAGUCUCCGGCCACUGGGCCAAACUUUUCUCUAG